UUCCAGAAAGCUUGGUUAACUUACCAUUUAAUAAAUCAUAACCUCUGGGUUGCUUUACCCCAAACAGGCAUAUUAUGAGUUCCAAAACACCUGAGAAGAGUUAGUUUAAUCAACCUCCAACUGGUUAUCCAGAGUUUAUGCGCGUGCACGUUGCAUAUAUAAAGACAUUUUCAAUGGAUCGCCGAUUUCACAAGUCACCAUGGAAACUCAAAGUGAAAAAAAGAGAGCGGCAUAUUUCACAGAGGUGGAGUUGGAGGUUUUAAUGAACACUUAUGAGGAAUUUAAGCCAAUAAUAUAAAAAAGAACCAAUACAGCUGCAUCAGCUAAAGCAAGAGAGUUGGCUUGGCAAAAAAUAACGGACAGAGUAAAUGCGGGAGUGUAGUUCUGUGGCUCCAGAAGGAUUACACCUUAUUAAAUAAGAAAUAUACAUUAUUAUUUUAAACUAAAGAAAUAAAUGGCAGGAAAAGUAAAUGCUUUCAUAGUGAUAUAACAUAUUCAAAAGGAUGUAUAAGUCAUACUUCAUUAUUUUGCAUUAUAAUAAAACGGGAGCCAAUAUCAAAUUUGUAAUUUAAGCCAAGUCAAAAUGAAACACAAAAACAUUCUGCAAAAAGGUAAUAUUUGAUUACACAAUUACUGAACUAUUAUUAUAACAGGAUUUAGUAUAUUCAUUCUGUCAUGUAGCUAAUAGAAAGAAGACUGAAGCCCGUCUAACUGGCGGGGCCCACCACCACCUCCCCUCACCCCAUCUGAGGACCGACCAGUGGUUGCUGGCAUUCCAGGGGGCAGUUCCUCGCACACACCAUGCACUACAAGUGAUGGUGAAAAAAUGGUGAAAUAUACUGAUGUAUGGAUUGCAUUAUUGGACCCUCCAGAAAGAACACAGUCUGUCACAGUUGAUGAAGAUGAUGAAGAUGACAAUGAAGAGACCACAUCUGCUGUGACAGAAGUGGACAAUGCUGGUAGACCCACUGAGGUAUGAUACAUACCAUUAUAAUGUAUGGCCCCUUUUUGCAUUAGAGUAACAAACUGUCAUUGUCCUUUCACAGUACAUACCUAGGGAUUUGCCCACACAUGAGGGUAAGAAUUUGUGUCCAGGUGUCCAUAUUUGAAUUUUAUUAUCUGACCAAACAAUCUCAUUCAUUACAUUUGUUCCACCUUCCUAGUUGA